CUCUCCGUAGUUCAAUGGAUAGAACGAGUGCCUCCUAAGCGCUAGAUACAGGUUCGAUUCCUGUCGGAGGGACCA
rnacentral:tRNA from 2 species